CCCAAGAUACAACUUACCGAGGCCCAUCUGGUGAACAUCAAAUAGCAGCAUAAAUUAAGAUCGAAAGUCCAAUUAAAGAACCUGCUCCAGCCGGACAUACAACAAAUAUUUCACCGCCUCCCGAACGACUUAAACCUUCGCCACAAAAACCAUUUUCUUAUGAAUCUAGGCCCGAAGCUGUGGCGACACCGAUGAUCAUCGGUUCGGCAAUAAUUCCAUCAUGGAACUGAUGGGUGAAGGAGUGAAAUACCAGACUAAAGGAAGUUGAGAUUCGACCAUCAAUCUGAACUGAUCGAUUAAUAUUAGUCAUCUGCAAGUAAGUACUGUCUCCGGGUACCUCCGUCUCAAAUAUAAAGAAACCGAAGAAGAUACCGAAGAGAAUGCCGAAGAGAUAACGCCAUCCGGAAGUCUGUGUUGGCAAAAGAAAGAAACAAUCUUGAUAUUGCUCUCUUCAACAAUGAAUGCCUUCGGAAGGAUAUNNNN
rnacentral:lncRNA from 1 species